UACGAAGGGGGGCUAGCGUUGCUCGGAAUCACUGGGCGUAAAGCGCACGUAGGCGGGUCCUUAAGUCAGGGGUGAAAUCCCGGAGCUCAACUCCGGAACUGCCUUUGAUACUGGGGAUCUUGAGUCCGGAAGAGGUGAGUGGAACUCCGAGUGUAGAGGUGAAAUUCGUAGAUAUUCGGAAGAACACCAGUGGCGAAGGCGGCUCACUGGUCCGGUACUGACGCUGAGGUGCGAAAGCGUGGGGAGCAAACAGG
rnacentral:rRNA from 1 species